UCUUGUAGGCUCCUAUGAAGAGGCUGCUUGUAGGUAGAGACACGGUGGCCAUCUGGGCAGAGGUGGCAACUGACCAGCAUGUCAGAAGAAGGAGGAGAGACCAUGGAACUCUGUGUUUACCAGUUGUGGAAGAAUGGGAUUGGCUAUAGGCAUUGUCUUUGGUGUGAGAUCUGGGAAAAGGGUGUGUGUGUGAAGGGGAGAGAGUGCAUAACAGAACUAGAGAGGGACAAACAGCUGGAAGAAAUCCAAGUGGAAACCUGGAGUAGCUCUGGAAGAAGCUAGAGACCAC